UUAACACGUGAGUAACCUGCCCUUAACUCUGGGAUAAGCCUGGGAAACUGGGUCUAAUACCGGAUAUGACUCCUCAUCGCAUGGUGGGGGGUGGAAAGCUUUAUUGUGGUUUUGGAUGGACUCGCGGCCUAUCAGCUUGUUGGUGAGGUAAUGGCUUACCAAGGCGACGACGGGUAGCCGGCCUGAGAGGGUGACCGGCCACACUGGGACUGAGACACGGCCCAGACUCCUACGGGAGGCAGCAGUGGGGAAUAUUGCACAAUGGGCGCAAGCCUGAUGCAGCGACGCCGCGUGAGGGAUGACGGCCUUCGGGUUGUAAACCUCUUUCAGUAGGGAAGAAGCGAAAGUGACGGUACCUGCAGAAGAAGCGCCGGCUAA
rnacentral:rRNA from 1 species